CUACGUAGGGAGCGAGCGUUGUCCGGAAUUACUGGGCGUAAAGGGCGCGUAGGCGGCGCUUCAAGUCGUCUGUCAAAUGGGAGGGCUUAACCCUUUUUCGCAGACGAAACUGGAGAGCUUGAGAAGCAGAGAGGCAAACAGAAUUCCUGGUGUAGCGGUGAAAUGCGUAGAUAUCAGGAAGAAUACCAGUGGCGAAGGCGGUUUGCUGGCUGCAUACUGACGCUGAAGCGCGAAAGCCAGGGGAGCAAACGGGAUUAGAUACCCCGGUAGUCCUGGCAGUAAACGAUGUAUGCUGGGUGUGAGACUAGCGAUAGUUUCGUGCCGAAGUUAACGCGAUAAGCAUACCGCCUGGGGAGUACGGUCGCAAGAUUGAAACUCAAAGGAAUUGACGGGG
rnacentral:rRNA from 1 species